GAACACCGAGAGCGCGCAGCGACGAAAACAGCGUGGGCUUAGAAGCAGCCAUCCCAAAGAGAGCGUAGUAGCUCUGUUUUUAAGCGCAGCUGUUCCCAACACGCCGAACACAUAAACGCCGAAACCCGCCUGCGUAAAAACGAUAAACAUCACCGCCUAAGCU
rnacentral:rRNA from 1 species